UCUACGGGAGUCAGCAGUGGGGAAUAUUGGACAAUGGGCGAAAGCCUGAUCCAGCCAUGCCGCGUGUGUGAAGAAGGCCUUCGGGUUGUAAAGCACUUUCAGUGGGGAAGAAAGCCUUGGGGCCAAUACCCUCGAGGAAGGACAUCACCCACAGAAGAAGCACCGGCUAACUCCGUGCCAGCAGCCGCGGUAAUACGGAGGGUGCGAGCGUUAAUCGGAAUUACUGGGCGUAAAGCGCGCGUAGGCGGUCUGAUAAGCCGGUUGUGAAAGCCCCGGGCUCAACCUGGGAACGGCAUCCGGAACUGUCAGGCUAGAGUGCAGGAGAGGAAGGUAGAAUUCCCGGUGUAGCGGUGAAAUGCGUAGAGAUCGGGAGGAAUACCAGUGGCGAAGGCGGCCUUCUGGACUGACACUGACGCUGAGGUGCGAAAGCGUGGGUAGCAAACAGGAUUAGAUACCCCGGUAGUC
rnacentral:rRNA from 1 species